AGAGUUUGAUCAUGGCUCAGAUUGAACGCUGGCGGCAGGCUUAACACAUGCAAGUCGAACGGUAACAGGAAGGAAGCUUGCUUUCUUUGCUGACGAGUGGCGGACGGGUGAGUAAUGCUUGGGAAUCUGGCUUAUGGAGGGGGAUAACUACGGGAAACUGUAGCUAAUACCGCGUAAUAUCUUCGGAUUAAAGGGUGGGACCGUAAGGCCACCUGCCAUAAGAUGAGCCCAAGUGGGAUUAGGUAGUUGGUGGGGUAAAGGCCUACCAAGCCGACGAUCUCUAGCUGGUCUGAGAGGAUGACCAGCCACACUGGAACUGAGACACGGUCCAGACUCCUACGGGAGGCAGCAGUGGGGAAUAUUGCACAAUGGGGGGAACCCUGAUGCAGCCAUGCCGCGUGAAUGAAGAAGGCCUUCGGGUUGUAAAGUUCUUUCGGUGAUGAGGAAGGCGGUUGUUUUAAUAGAACAAUCGAUUGACGUUAGUCACAGAAGAAGCACCGGCUAACUCCGUGCCAGCAGCCGCGGUAAUACGGAGGGUGCGAGCGUUAAUCGGAAUGACUGGGCGUAAAGGGCACGCAGGCGGUGACUUAAGUGAGACGUGAAAGCCCCGGGCUUAACCUGGGAAUUGCAUUUCAUACUGGGUCGCUAGAGUAUUUUAGGGAGGGGUAGAAUUCCACGUGUAGCGGUGAAAUGCGUAGAGAUGUGGAGGAAUACCGAAGGCGAAGGCAGCCCCUUGGGAAUAUACUGACGCUCAUGUGCGAAAGCGUGGGGAGCAAACAGGAUUAGAUACCCUGGUAGUCCACGCUGUAAACGCUGUCGAUUUGGGGAUUGGGCUUUAAGCUUGGUGCCCGUAGCU
rnacentral:rRNA from 1 species